rnacentral:rRNA from 1 species
GACGAACGCUGGCGGCGUGCUUAACACAUGCAAGUCGAACGGAAAGGCCCUGCUUUUGUGGGGUGCUCGAGUGGCGAACGGGUGAGUAACACGUGAGUAACCUGCCCUUGACUUUGGGAUAACUUCAGGAAACUGGGGCUAACACCGGAUAGGAGCUCCUGCUGCAUGGUGGGGGUUGGAAAGUUUCGGCGGUUGGGGAUGGACUCGCGGCUUAUCAGCUUGUUGGUGGGGUAGUGGCUUACCAAGGCUUUGACGGGUAGCCGGCCUGAGAGGGUGACCGGCCACAUUGGGACUGAGAUACGGCCCAGACUCCUACGGGAGGCAGCAGUGGGGAAUAUUGCACAAUGGGCGGAAGCCUGAUGCAGCAACGCCGCGUGCGGGAUGACGGCCUUCGGGUUGUAAACCGCUUUCGCCUGUGACGAAGCGUGAGUGACGGUAAUGGGUAAAGAAGCACCGGCUCACUACGUG